rnacentral:rRNA from 1 species
UACGUAGGGUGCAAGCGUUGUCCGGAAUUAUUGGGCGUAAAGGGCUUGUAGGCGGUCUGUCGCGUCUGCUGUGAAAACUCGGGGCUUAACCCCGGGCCUGCAGUGGGUACGGGCAGACUAGAGUGCGGGAGGGGAGACUGGAAUUCCUGGUGUAGCGGUGAAAUGCGCAGAUAUCAGGAGGAACAUCGGUGGCGAAGGCGGGUCUCUGGGCCGUAACUGACGCUGAGGAGCGAAAGCAUGGGGAGCGAACAGG